rnacentral:rRNA from 1 species
CCUACGGGGUGCAGCAGGCGCGAAACCUCCGCAAUGUGAGAAAUCGCGACGGGGGGAUCCCAAGUGCCAUUCUUAACGGGAUGGCUUUUCAUUAGUGUAAAGAGCUUUUGGAAUAAGGGCUGGGCAAGACCGGUGCCAGCCGCCGCGGUAACACCGGCAGCUCUAGUGGUAGCAGUUUUUAUUGGGCCUAAAGCGUCCGUAGCCGGUUUAAUAAGUCUCUGGUGAAAUCCUGUAGCUUAACUGUGGGAAUUGCUGGAGAUACUAUUAGACUUGAGACCGGGAGAGGUUAGAGGUACUCCCAGGGUAGAGGUGAAAUUCUGUAAUCCUGGGAGGACCGCCUGUUGCGAAGGCGUCUAACUGGAACGGUUCUGACGGUGAGGGACGAAAGUUAGGGGCGCGAACCGGAUUAGAUACCCGGGUAGUCCUAACUGNUAMACGAUGCGGACUUGGUGUUGGGGUGGCUUUGAGCUGUUCCAKUGCCRRRGGGAMGSUGUUWMSUCCKCCGCCUKGGWMGUACKGYYGCAWGASWGARACUUAAARGRAUUGGCGGGGGAGCACCACAACGCGUGGAGCCUGCGGUUUAAUUGGAUUCAACGCCGGACAUCUCACCAGAGGCGACAGCUGUAUGAUAGCCAGGUUGAUGACUUUGCUUGACUAGCUGAGAGGAGGUGCAUGGCCGCCGUCAGCUCGUACCGUGAGGCGUCCUGUUAAGUCAGGCAACGAGCGAGACCCACGCCCUUAGUUACCAGCUUAUCCUUUUUUGGAUGAUGGGCACACUAAGGGGACCGCCUAUGAUAAAUAGGAGGAAGGAGUGGACGACAGUAGGUCCGUAUGCCCCGAAUCCUCUGGGCAACACGCGGGCUACAAUGGCUGAGACAAUGGGUUCCGACACCGAAAGGUGGAGGUAAUCCUCUAAACUUAGUCGUAGUUCGGAUUGAGGACUGUAACUCGUUCUCAUGAAGCUGGAAUGCGUAGUAAUCGCGUAUCACUAUUGCGCGGUGAAUACGUCCCUGCUCCUUGCACACACCGCAGCAGGCUCCUUGCACACACCGCAGCAGGCUCCUUGCACACACCGC